ensembl:lncRNA
CUGUUUGACAGGAAUGGACCAAAUGCUGUCAGUAUUCUCAUUAGUAAAUUUGCAGUCGCUCAGUGAUGGAGUGCAGUGCCUUUGGAGGGGCUUUGGACAGUGAGUCCUGCUUGCUGCACAGGAUCAUAAGGAAGAGCAGCUCCUCUCUGAAGGAUGCAGGCAGAAGGUGGCUGAGAUUUUCUUACAAUGAGACACUUUUUAUGGGGCAACAGAAAAGUACACAGAAAGGAAGUGAAGAGCUCCGGUCCUGGGCUUCUGAUGCAGAAUCAAGGAGAAAUAGUGAAAAUAUUGGAAAUGGAGAAUGGCAACAAGUGAAAUCACAUUCUAGUCUUGCAUGGAAGUGUGAAACUGCUGCAAAACACCCGGCUCUCACAGCUCCGUUGACUCCAAUGAGAUGCAUGCAGCUGAGUUGGUAUGAACUCAUCAGGCGGACGGGGAGCAGAGCAGAUCUUUAUGAACUGAAGCACAUCGAGCGAUAACUGAAAUGCCUGAAAAUCAUCACAGCACUGAUAGGUGUGAAUUUAUGCCAGCUCGCAAAGUACUUUUUGUAUCUUAAUUAUUGAGGAGCAGAUGAUUAUGUUAUGUCAUAUCGCUGGGGGGGAUGAGAUUAGAAGCCCGGGGAAUGGGAGUAUCAUUAGAGAAGCAAAGAUGAUGAUAUUUGCUUUGGGAAAAAAGUCCAUAAGAGGUUGGCGUUGUACUGCAGUUACAGCAACAACUGCAGCCAGCAGCUGAGUGCCCGCUUCGACACGGCGCGCUGUGCAAACAACGAUCAUUGUGCACUUCUGGGCUCAGGUGCUAAAUGGAUUACUGGGAAACUCCCAGAAUAAAAACGUGUGAUCCCUACAUGAAAUGUAGCUGACGAUUGAGAAGCACCGCUUUAAUGGGUGAUUUUAUUUUUUU